CCUUGAAAAAAUCAAAGGUGUAACCUGCCCAAUGAUCUUAAACUUAAAAAAUAUAACUAUUUUUAAAAAGAUUUAAAGGACGCAGUAUCCUGACUGUGAUAAUGUAGCAUAAUCAUUCGCCAUUUAAUUGAUGGAUAGUAUGAAUGGUUGAACGAAUUCUUCACUGUCUUAAAAAAAGAAAUAAUGAAAUUUAAAUAAUAGUAAAGAUGCUAUUUAAAAUUGUAAGACGAAAAGACCCUAUAGAGCUUAACUAUAAGUUCUUUUAAUUAAAAGAACAUAAUUCUCAAAAUAAAGAACUUGGUAGUUUAGUUGGGGCGACUAUCUUCUAAUAUUAACGAAGACAAGCAAAAUUAAUAUAUAAUUUAUUGUAUAACCUAUAAGUUUAACAAUUACAAAAGUAGGCAUAAUGACCCGUUUUCAUUUAGUAAUUAAAGAAAACGAUCAAUAAAUAAAAGCUACCUUAGGGAUAACAGGAUAAUUUUGUUUUAGAGAUCCUAUCGAAAACAAAGUUUGUCACCUCUAUGUUGAAUUAAGAUAUCCUAGUAAUGCAGAAGUUACUAAAGGUAGGUCUGUUCGACCUUUAAAAU
rnacentral:rRNA from 1 species